GCUACUGUUUAACACAUCAGGGUCCAGCAAUAAAAACCCCGACUAUAUCGGGGUUUUUUAUUAUCUAAAUUUUUGUAACAAGAAUUUAGAUCUUGCUUGGAAUUUAAAUUGGGCUCUAUGCCCUUUUUUU
rfam:Vibrio ponticus DNA, contig: contig00003_14, strain: JCM 19238.